rnacentral:rRNA from 1 species
GAGAACGCUGGCGGCGUGGAUUAGGCAUGCAAGUCGACGGAUCUCUUCGGGGUGAGAGAGUGGCGAACUGGUGAGUAACACGUAGGUUAUCUACCCUCAAGACGGGGACAACCCAGGGAAACUUGGGCUAAUACCGGAUGUGAGCAACUUUUAGUUGUUUGAAAGGUGGCGUAAGCUGUCGCUUGGGGAUGAGCCUGCGUCCUAUUAGUUAGUUGGUGAGGUAACGGCUCACCUAGGCAAUGAUAGGUAGGCGGCCUUAACGGGUGGUCGCCCACACUGGGAUUGAGAUACGGCCCAGACUCCUACGGGAGGCAGCAGUCGAGAAUAGUCUACAAUGGUCGGAAGACUGAUAGUGCGACGCCGCGUGAACGAUGAAUCCCUUCGGGGUGUAAAGUUCUUUUAUAUGUGAGCAGUGCUUCUUAUAUUAACAGUAUGGGGAGAGAGAUAUUAGCAUAUGAAUAAGCAACGGCUAACUCCGUG